GUGAGGAACCUGCCUCAAAGAGGGGGACAACAGUUGGAAACGACUGCUAAUACCGCAUAAGCCCACGACCCGGCAUCGGGUAGAGGGAAAAGGAGCAAUCCGCUUUGAGAUGGCCUCGCGUCCGAUUAGCUAGUUGGUGAGGUAAUGGCCCACCAAGGCGACGAUCGGUAGCCGGACUGAGAGGUUGAACGGCCACAUUGGGACUGAGACACGGCCCAGACUCCUACGGGAGGCAGCAGUGGGGAAUAUUGCACAAUGGGGGAAACCCUGAUGCAGCGACGCCGCGUGGAGGAAGAAGGUCUUCGGAUUGUAAACUCCUGUUGUUGAGGAAGAUAAUGACGGUACUCAACAAGGAAGUGACGGCUAACUACGUGCCAGCAGCCGCGGUAAAACGUAGGUCACAAGCGUUGUCCGGAAUUACUGGGUGUAAAGGGAGCGCAGGCGGGAAGACAAGUUGGAAGUGAGAUCCAUGGGCUCAACCCAUGAACUGCUUUCAAAACUGUUUUUCUUGAGUAGUGCAGAGGUAGGCGGAAUUCCCGGUGUAGCGGUGGAAUGCGUAGAUAUCGGGAGGAACACCAGUGGCGAAGGCGGCCUACUGGGCACCAACUGACGCUGAGGCUCGAAAGUGUGGGUAGCAAACAGGAUUAGAUACCCUGGUAGUCCACACUGUAAACGAUGAUUACUAGGUGUUGGAGGAUUGACCCCUUCAGUGCCGCAGUUAACACAAUAAGUAAUCCACCUGGGGAGUACGACCGCAAGGUUGAAACUCAAAGGAAUUGACGGGGGCCCGCA
rnacentral:rRNA from 1 species